rnacentral:lncRNA from 1 species
UUGUACAGAAAAGAUGCUCCACUCCAACCAACUCAGUUGCUAUCUAAAUUCAACCACUUCAGGUCGUACCUCUUUUGUGAAGAACAAGUUAAGGGGAAAAGAGGACAAAGGACUAUCCAUAAUUAUAUCAAGGAUUCCUACUCUGCCUGUACCUCUCCAACAAUUAUUUACUCAUUGACAAUUGACUUCAUGAGUUCUACAUUACUUGCACAACCUUCUUUUGAAAUUACUAAGACUACAGCAGAACAAUGCCUAAGAAUUAUUUAACUAGCCAAGCCACU